UACGAGGGGGGCGAGCGUUGUUCGGAAUUAUUGGGCGUAAAGGGUGCGUAGGCGGUUUGGUAAGUCUCUUGUGAAAUCUAUGGGCUCAACUCAUAGUCUGCAAGGGAAACUGCCGGGCUUGAGUGUGGGAGGGGUGAGUGGAAUUUCCGGUGUAGCGGUGAAAUGCGUAGAUAUCGGAAGGAACACCUGUGGCGAAAGCGGCUCACUGGACCACAACUGACGCUGAUGCACGAAAGCUAGGGGAGCAAACAGG
rnacentral:rRNA from 1 species